AACGAACGCUGGCGGCAUGCCUAACACAUGCAAGUCGAACGAUUGCCUUCGGGUGAUAGUGGCGCACGGGUGCGUAACGCGUGGGAAUCUGCCCUUAGGUUCGGAAUAACAGCUGGAAACGGCUGCUAAUACCGGAUGAUAUCGCGAGAUCAAAGAUUUAUCGCCUGAGGAUGAGCCCGCGUUGGAUUAGGUAGUUGGUGGGGUAAAGGCCUACCAAGCCGACGAUCCAUAGCUGGUCUGAGAGGAUGAUCAGCCACACUGGGACUGAGACACGGCCCAGCCCCCUAGGGGAGGCAGCGGGGGGAAAUAUGGGACAGGGGGCGAAGGCUGGACCCAGAAUGGCCGGGGGAGGAAAGAGGCCCGGGGGGUUGAAAACUCUUUUUCCCGGGAAAAAUAAGCACUUUCCGGGAAAAAAAACCCCGGACAACCUCCGCC
rnacentral:rRNA from 1 species